rnacentral:rRNA from 1 species
CCUACGGGGGGCUGCAGUCUAGAGGCUUCGUCAAUGGGGGCAACCCUGAACGAGCGACGCCGCGUGUGGGAUGAAGGCCUUCGGGUCGUAAACCACUGUCGAGUGGGAAGCGGUACCACUAUAGGAAGCCCCGGCUAACUCCGUGCCAGCAGCCGCGGUAAUACGGAGGGGGCAAGCGUUGUUCGGAUUUACUGGGCGUAAAGGGUGUGUAGGCGGCUGGAUAAGUCUGGUGUGAAAUCUUACCGCUCAACGGGAAGGGGUCACUGGAAACUGUUCAGCUUGAGUAUGGUAGAGGCAAGCGGAAUUCCUGGUGUAGCGGUGGAAUGUGUAGAUAUCAGGAAGAACAUCGGUGGCGAAGGCGGCUUGCUGGGCCAUACUGACGCUGAGACACGAAAGCGUGGGGAGCAAACGGGAUUAGAUACCCUUGUAGUC